CGGCGAACGGGUGAGUAACACGUGAGCAACCUGCCCCGAAGACUGGGAUAACACCGGGAAACCGGUGCUAAUACCGGAUAUCCUCCUCUGAUCGCAUGGUCUAGGGAGGAAAGGAAUUUUGCUUCGGGAGGGGCUCGCGGGCUAUCAGCUUGUUGGUGGGGUAACGGCCUACCAAGGCGACGACGGCUAGCUGGUCUGAGAGGACGACCAGCCACACUGGGACUGAGACACGGCCCAG
rnacentral:rRNA from 1 species